GGAUCCAAGUCCGUUUCACUACUGGUUUGCAGAUGCUGCUGUAUCUACCGUGCUCUUCCCUUUUGUGGAGCCCAGGGCACCCCUCUCCCCACCUUCCCGUCCCCUCUUUGUCCUCCCCUUCCCAGUUUCUGUAAAGGGGCCGACCCUCAAGAACUCCAAGCUGAGCUCAGCUGCUGCCCCCCAUCACAGCCCCAGCAGCCUGCCCUCUGGAACCUGGGACCCCGGUCAGCCCCGGGCCACUUCCAGAAGGAAGAUGUGCCUGCGGCCCCCUCCCGUAGCCAGUUUGGGUGAUGGGGGCAGAGAGAAGUGUCUGGGGGGGCCCUCCACUGCUCUGGAUCAGAUAUCAGAAACCUCUCCCCUCCCUCCUCCCUUCCCUCUUUUCUCUGGAGGAGGCUAGCCCCGCCCUGCAGUGAUAUCACUGGGUCAAGGUAGGGGCGGGGAGGCUUCUACCUUCUAUUAAGUGUGAGAGUUUCUUUGUCUCUGGAGGAGGAUGUGAGUAGGAUGGGCAGCUAGACGUCUGCUUGCCCCUCAUCCACUUCCCUUCCCUUUCCCCUCCACGCCCGUCCCCUCCGUUACCCCCGUCUUCCAGACUGACGGAUCCUGAGGGUCCUACUAAUGCCUACGGUGUCUGUGAGUCAGGGAGCAAAAGCAGUCAACACAACUAAAAUACUAUACAGAGGAAAAGAUACUUGCAGAAGGAGACAGUCUCUCUGAGAACAUUCCAGUUACUACAGGCUUAAUCUCUGGGGAAGCACAUCUAGCCUCUGAACACUCAGUGGAUGAAAUACUGAUAUGUGGAGACACACAAGCUCUGAGAAGACUCAGAGGAAAAGAUACUUGUGGCAAGAGACAGUCUUUCUGAGAACAUUCCAGUUACUACAGGCUUACUCUCUGGGGAAGAACAUCUAGCCUCUGAACACUCAGCAGACAAGACAUUUGGGGCUGAAGACACACUCCCUGAGAACAUUCUACUUACUACAGACUUGCUUUCUGGGGAAAUAUGAAAGAGAAAUCAUAAGCAACUCAUUAAGGUUAAAUUGUGUGCUUUCAUAUAAGGGAAGAGGAUACACUUAUCUUCUAAGAACGUUAUCAUUAUUAGAGGAGGUAGAAGGAUUCUACAUAGAAGGUUUGAGAGUGAGCCACUUAGGUUGGCAUGAUGGAAAAUAAAUGGAUAGGCAAAUAUUAUGGAUGCCCUGGGAGAAGGCAGAAAAGAGAGAAAGAAUGAGGGACAUAAUCUCACAUAAAACGGGUGUGCAAAAAAGAGGUUUCACCUCGCAGUGGAAAAUGGUAGAGGCGGAGUAGCCAAUGCUCGAACUUCAGUCACAUCUAAAUUGGUUUAAUAGAGGAAAAUACCUUUAUCUAUAUUUAUGUCUGUCCCUAUAUAUACUUACUGAAUUGGUCAUAAAUAUCUAGCUUACCCGAGAGGUAAGUAAGAGAGUCUAAAAAAGAAAGAAAAAGUGGUGAUAAAAGGGUCGACUGAUAAAAUAAUGCAGUUGUCAUAUGCAAAACAGAAACUAGAGGAGAGACAGAAUAAAAAGAAAGAGAGAAGGAGAAAACGAAGAAGGUAGGAAGAAUGGAAAUGCAUAGUUAGUAAUCCUAACUCUGUGAAUUAGGUGAACUCACUCAUAAAAUGGAAUCAGGUAACAAAAUGGAUUAGAAACCAGUAUCCAAAAAUAUGUAUGUUUGUUCCUUUGUUUUUUGUUUUUUGGUUUUUUUACAAGAAACAUGCUUGAAACAAAGGAACUACAGAGUGAAAAAGGGGGUUGGAGAAGAAGCUGUUUACUUCAGAUGAAGUAAAAACAUGGAGGGGUAGCAAUCAUGAUCUCAGACAAAGCAAAAGCAAAAAUAUCCCUAUGAAAAGGAAUUAGCAGGGAAACUACCUCUUGUUCAAAGGAAUGACAGACAAUGAAGUAAUGUCAAAACUAAACGUAUUUCGGAAAUGGCAUAGGAUUCAAAUUCUUAACAGAAAAAUUAAGCAAAUAACAGGAAGAAACAGACAGGAAAACUGUAGUAGUGGGGCACCUCAGUUUUUUCCUCUGAGAGCUAGAUAAAGUGAAUCACAAAAUGAAUAAGAAAGAAGUUAAGAAGAGUAAGAGAAGUUUAGAAAACCUAGAUAUGAAAGACCUAUGGAGAAAACUGAAUGGAAAUACAAAGGAGUACAGACAGUUGGCGCUUUACAUAAGUUUGCAUUAUGCAAAUUGGACUUUAUGGAAGGAAUUCUAUAAGCUAGCUGAAUUCCAAGAAAGCACCUAUGUCAACUUUAUCAUACUGUACUGGGAUCUCUUUCUGCUCCUGCCCCUCAAGUUGGUGCUCUGUGGCCUCCUACCACACCAUCCCCCCAAAAAGGAAAAGCUAAAAAAUAUCCUCCAAGUGAAAGGAGAAGAACAGACCUGCAGAGAGAUGGCCACCACCACUGCCGGAUCAAGGCUUGGCUUGAGACCUCCAGUGCUGAGAGAGCAGACCUACAUUUUAGUCUGCCCACCCUCUUAAGAGUUUCAUUUCUGUGUUUUGGUAUUUUGUCCAUCCACAUUAAGGUAGUGCAUGUCUGUUCCUGGUGUGCACCACAUAUGACCUGUCCUCUCCUGAAUGUUUCCAUGUGCGGCCCUCAUGUAUCUGUCUUGCCAGCCUGUUCUCCCUUUCAGUUCCAGCCAGGUCCUUAUGUGGCUGGCCCCUGUGUCCAGCCCCCACGUGUCCUUGAAUCAUGUCCUGGCCCCUCCUCCAGGGAGGUGCAGUCCCCUUCCUAACUCCCUUCUGCCCUUUUCCACGUCCAUGGGGUAAUAAAUUCAUAUUACAUAAAGA